CAACUUGAUUUUGUUUUCCUCUUUUUUUUUUUUCAUGUUUCGUUUUCACAGUUCACUUUCAUAAAUAUAUUUUAGGACCAUGUGAAAUAUUAUAUGCUUCUGUAUUUUCUGAAAUACUUUUUUUGCAUUGUACUAAAUGUUUCAUGCUUCAUGAAACAUCAGUUUAUUUCCUCCCUGAUACAUUAAUGCCAUUGACCUUCAGGGCUACCGUACAUAUCAGAAGGGGGCGUCAUUAUAGGCAUUUAAAAUAAAUUUGAACAUGCAGUAGAACUUUGUACUCUUGGAUCCCUGUUGGAAAUGUUCCUAUACUCCACACCUUCAGGACUUCACCAGUCCACGUUGGUGCACUUUGAUACAACAGUGCUCUUUUUCAACCAUCCUUGCUCAUGAGCGCGCAUUGGGGUGCUAAAAGCCUGACUCAGACAUCUGCAGACAUCAUGGAGGUUAAUUCAGUGACCUUUCUGAACAGAUGUUUUGAAGCCUAACGAUGGUGAUCACUGUUUGUAAAAUGCAGACUAAAACUGUCUUUCAGUCAAUCCAGAGACAGAGAGAGAGAUGGUGCCGAUUGGCUAACAGCUGCAACAUGGCCACGCCCCUGAUCAUGCAGGUGUGUGCAUAACCCUUAACCUUAAUUUUGUAAUAAUGGAAGAGCUGCUUAUUAUUCCUCUUCCAGGUUUACUGUCGUAUAAAAACUGUUUUAGCAGGAUGUUAAAACAAGAAAACUUUGUUUUGUUCCAUUUAGAGUCAUUGUCAACGUAUCGUCUGUCCAGCAGAGGGUGAUCGGAGUCCAUAAUGAACGAUACUUUCUGCACUGUCUGCAUCACGAGCAGCAGAGCGUCACAGCUAUACAGGUAAGAAGGACUAGACAAAGUUUUAUAUUGACGCUUAUAUCAAACUGAAGAAGGACCCAGCUCAGCACAGUCAUAUUUGUCGACAAACUGUAGGUAUAAUUUGCUGUAACACAACUAAGAAAUCAGCUUUUACUGUUAGUCAUCAGAAAACGGAGUUUUGCUUCGUACUGUGUAUGAAGAGCUGAUGUAUUUUUUUGCUCAAAUAUGUUUUUUUGUUUUUUUUUGUUUUGUUUUACAAUAAAACAGAGAUAAAAUACAUGUUAGCAAGCAGAAAAAGUA